GGACUACUAGGGUUUCUAAUCCUGUUUGCUACCCACGCUUUCGCGUAUCAGCGUCAGUAUCCGGCCAGAUGGCCGCCUUCGCCACUGGUGUUCCUCCCCAUAUCUACGAAUUUCACCUCUACUUGGGGAAUUCCGCCAUCCUCUCCGGUACUCGAGCCAAGCAGUUUCGAGUGCACUUCCUCGGUUAAGCCGAGGGCUUUCACACCCGACUUGCCUAGCCGCCUACACGCGCUUUACGCCCAAUAAUUCCGAACAACGCUUGCACCCUCUGUAUUACCGCGGCGGCUGGCAC
rnacentral:rRNA from 1 species